rnacentral:rRNA from 1 species
CUGGGCUAGAAUGCCUCUGACAACCCUAGAGAUAGGGCUUCCUAGGGAAACCUAGGCAGAGUGCAAGGUGCUGCAUGGCUGUCGUCAGCUCGUGUCGUGAGAUGUUGGGUUAAGUCCCGCAACGAGCGCAACCCUUAUCGAUAGUCGCUAGCGGUUCGGCCGAGCACUCUAUUGAGACUGCCGUUGACAAAACGGAGGAAGGUGGGGAUGACGUCAAGUCCUCAUGGCCUUUAUGUCCAGGGCUACACACGUGCUACAAUGGCAAGUACAAAGCGCUGCAAACUCGCGAGAGGGAGCCAAUCGCAAAAAGCUUGUCUCAGUUCGGAUUGGAGUCUGCAACUCGACUUCAUGAAGUUGGAAUCGCUAGUAAUCGCAGAUCAGAACGCUGCGGUGAAUACGUUCCC